GCUUAGGUAUCCGAGUGGGUAAGGAGUUGGACUCGAAAUCCAAUAGGGCAACCCCGCGCAGGUUCGAAUCUUGUCCUCGGCC